rnacentral:misc_RNA from 1 species
CUUCUUUCAUGUAUGCACGGAUGGUCAUUGAUUGUUGGUAGACUUCCAGGAAGAACAACGAAUGAUGUAAAGAAUUUCUAGAACUCCCACUUGUGCAAGAAGCUCAGUUCUUGCGAAGAAGAGGCAAAAGCAAAAACACAAGAAUAAACCAAUAAGAUCAAAGUAAUAAAGCCUCAACCUCGAAAACUUUUCAAAUUCAUAUCAUUUUUCCAGCUACGAGAGACCGCCGACUUUUACUCCGAGUGAUAUUCAAUCAAAAUUCUUACUUGCACCGGAAGAAUCAUCAUGUACCACAUUGGCUUUCGACCCACAAGCAAUACCUUCAAAUGAGACUCUAGAAAAUGAGAGAGAGAUUCAUACUAGUGCAAGUGAUGCUGAUCUUUGCAAGCCGUCCAUGGCUAUGGCAUUGGAAUUGGGAUUGCUGCGGUUGGAUAAUGAAGUUAUGUGGUGGGAAAGCCUUCCGGGUGACAGAAAUCAAUCAAACGAACACUUUCAUAGGCAACAGUUCACUGAGUGGAACUUUAUUCGAAGAUGCUCAGAUAAAACUCAAAGGAGACACCAAUUACUGGAAUGACUUCUCUUUCCAUGUCGACCUUUGGACUCUCCUUGUUCCCAUUCUCUCUUCGAG